CCCGGCCUAGAACGAUACCCUACUUACAUCUAUACUACAAUUGUCAAAAAGAGGGUUUAAUUUUGUGUGUUAAGUUAUUUUUCACAUCAGUCUCCCAUACCCUACUAAGAGUUUCCUCCAAAACUCUUGAAUUCCAAUGAGGGAUAUGGAAUUUGCCAAAAAUAGUGGGUGGUGCUAUUUUGAUUUAAAGACCUGGAUCAAAUGGCUUAAAAUCAAUCAAUUUAUAUUCGUUAUGUAUUUGUUUACCAAUAUAUUUGCAAACGCUAUCUAAAACUUGACAAAGAAAAGCCGAAUGCUUUAGUUUCCGACUUGGUACAACAAUCCCAAAGAUUGUCUUAAAUGGAUUGUAUAUGUACCUAAGUAGUCUCAUCCUCACAAUCUUCCUAUUGAUAAUGUACCAUUGGAAUAACAUGUUAGAUAAGUCUAUCAUAAAGAGGACAACACUUUUAAAGUCAUAAUUCUUCAAUUACAAAUCGUUGUAUGAAGAAAUAAGAGUUGCUUUGAACAACCCUUAACUACGCAAACAUUAGUGCUUGUUUCUUUGUUACAUGAACAAGGAACCUAAGAAGAAAGCACAAAGGCAUGGACACUUUAUGUGCCAUGAUUCUUCACUUACAAAUUGUUGUAUGAAGAAAUGAGAGUUGCCUUGAACAACUCUUGAAAGUUUGUAAUUAUGUUUAGAACAUAAUGGUUGGUUGACAAAAAUAGUCCAUCAACAUGGACUUAUGAUGAUUUUGAAUCAUUGAGUGUUGAAGUGUUAAACCACUUCUAGAAACGGAAACUAUGCAAGGACUUCACCUUUGUGUCCCUAUCCAAAUGGUUCACUAAGUUUAUUGUAAACUAUAUAGUGAACAAUAACCACACGCUCUCCAAAUCGUUUGAUGUGUAUAACACAAUUGAAAUAAGUUUCAAGAGAGACAGUGGGAGUUUAGGGACCAUGACUAUUGUAGACAAAGGAGAAGUCAAAUGAAGAAAGCGAAAUAACUCCAAGGGAACAAACUUUCUUUAUAAAAGGAUGGACAAUGGAAGGGGUAUUUGCAAAAAAUGUCUUGCAAGUGUCAAGAACACACCUUUCGAAGGUGUUGUAAAUUGUUCUUGAAUAGUUCAAAACAGUUGGUUCUUCUACCUGAAUGCUUGAUUCCGUAUUAGUAACUAUGUUUUACAAUCGUUGUAAAAGUGUGACUAAUAAGAAGUAGAAGAUAUAUGAGAGAAGAAAAAGGUGCUUCACAUUCGGAACGUGAAUAAAAUAAAGAUCUUUGUGAAAGCAGAUAGUACUUACUUCCUCAUAUGAACUACCAAAGAAAUUGGAAAAACCAAAGAUUGUCUUUACAUUCCAAUUUUAAGGAACUUAAUUCCGUCACUAUAGUAGAGAUGGAUGAAUGUUUUGUUUGACAAAACAUUGUUCUUUAUUAGUCAAUGAUUGGAUUAUAGUAAUCUAAUUGAUUGUCUCUAUAGUAGAGAUGAUAUGAUAGUGUUAACUGUUUAGAAUAUAACGAUGCUUAAAAUCCAAAAGGUUGCAAGGUAGUGACUAAUCCCAACUAAAGUUGUGAUACCUCUAAAACAUAAAUUACGAGUUGGUCAUAGAUGGAUGCUUUAGAUCGUUAGAUCCGAAUCCAAUACUUUCUUAUUAAAAUUGUAUGGAGGCGAAAUGUUCGAAUCUUUAUUCUUUUGGAAAGAAGAAAGAAUCACAAAGUUGUUGAGGUUAAUUCACUCAGAUGUUAGUGGCACUUGUCCACAACAUAAUACUACUCAUGUUGUAUGACAUUCACCAAAGAUCACUCUCGGUUGGACUAUAGUUUAUUUUGAAUAAACACAAGUCCGAAUACUUUGCUAAAGGUUUCAAAGAAUUCAAAAAAUGUAAGUUGAUGAGUAAGACGUCUAAAGUAUUUGCCUCCUUAGAUUUGAUCUAAGGAAAGAUAACACUUUAGAACAGUUUCCUUGAAAAAUAUCAAGGAAAGCAGCAUCAAAAGAUAAUGGAUUUCUCCAUUAGGAGAAGAACGAACUUGAAUAAGAUUUAGUUCGUUGGAUGUUAUCAAUUACCCAUAUAUAGGAUAUAUGCUUCUAAGACAAUAUGAUUGUCAAUUAGAAGAUCUUCCAAAAAUUUUCAUGACUCCAUAAGAUGUAGUUGGAAAGAAAGACAAAUCUUAAUCAUGUUAAGAUUUGGGGUUGUGUGCUAAUAAGCAAUAUUUGUUUGAGAAUUAUCUUGUGGAUAUCCUUAAAUUAAUAUUUGGAUAUCACUUCUAUAAACCAACUAACAAAUGUUGUUUGUUGGGUAGUUCAUUGUAAU
rnacentral:lncRNA from 1 species